GACGAACGCUGGCGGCGUGCUUAACACAUGCAAGUCGAACGGAAAGGCCCUGCUUUUGUGGGGUGCUCGAGUGGCGAACGGGUGAGUAACACGUGAGUAACCUGCCCUUGUCUUUGGGGUAACUUCAGGAAACUGGGGCUAAUACCGGAUAGGAGCUCCUGCAGCGGGGGGGGGGUUGGAAAGUUUCGGCGGUGGGGGAUGGACUAGCGGCUUAUCAGCUUGUUGGUGGGGUAGUGGCUUACCAAGGCUUUGACGGGUAGCCGGCCUGAGAGGGGGGCCGGCCACAAGGGGCCUGCGAUACGGCCCAGACUCCUACGUGAGGCAACAGUCGGGAGUCUUGCACAGUGGGCGCAAGCCUGAUGCAGCAGCCCUGCGUGCGUGAUGACGGCUUUCUGGUUGUAAACCGCUUUCGCCUGUGACGAAGCGUGAGUGACGGUAAUGGGUAAAGAAGCACCGGCUAACUACGUG
rnacentral:rRNA from 1 species